rnacentral:rRNA from 1 species
AGCAGCAGCCGCGGUAAUACGUAGGGUGCGAGCGUUAAUCGGAAUUACUGGGCGUAAAGCGUGCGCAGGCGGUUUUGUAAGACAGGCGUGAAAUCCCCGGGCUCAACCUGGGAAUGGCGCUUGUGACUGCAAAGCUAGAGUGCGGCAGAGGGGGAUGGAAUUCCGCGUGUAGCAGUGAAAUGCGUGGAUAUGCGGAGGAACACCGAUGGCGAAGGCAAUCCCCUGGGCCUGCACUGACGCUCAUGCACGAAAGCGUGGGGAGCAAACAGGAUUAGAUACCCCCGUAGUCCCUGUCUCUUAUAC